AGAGUUUGAUCCUGGCUCAGGACGAACGCUGGCGGCGUGCCUAACACAUGCAAGUCGAACGGAACUGUUUUGAAAGAUUUCUUCGGAAUGAAUUUGAUUUAGUUUAGUGGCGGACGGGUGAGUAACGCGUGAGUAACCUGCCUUCAAGAGGGGGAUAACAUUCUGAAAAGAAUGCUAAUACCGCAUGACAUAUCGGAACCACAUGGUUUUGAUAUCAAAGAUUUUAUCGCUUGAAGAUGGACUCGCGUCCGAUUAGUUAGUUGGUGAGGUAACGGCUCACCAAGACCGCGAUCGGUAGCCGGACUGAGAGGUUGAACGGCCACAUUGGGACUGAGACACGGCCCAGACUCCUACGGGAGGCAGCAGUGGGGGAUAUUGCGCAAUGGGGGCAACCCUGACGCAGCAACGCCGCGUGAAGGAUGAAGGUUUUCGGAUUGUAAACUUCUUUUAUUAAGGACGAAAAUUGACGGUACUUAAUGAAUAAGCUCCGGCUAACUACGUGCCAGCAGCCGCGGUAAUACGUAGGGAGCAAGCGUUGUCCGGAUUUACUGGGUGUAAAGGGUGCGUAGGCGGCUUUGCAAGUCAGAUGUGAAAUCUAUGGGCUCAACCCAUAAACUGCAUUUGAAACUGUAGAGCUUGAGUGAAGUAGAGGCAGGCGGAAUUCCCCGUGUAGCGGUGAAAUGCGUAGAGAUGGGGAGGAACACCAGUGGCGAAGGCGGCCUGCUGGGCUUUAACUGACGCUGAGGCACGAAAGCGUGGGUAGCAAACAGGAUUAGAUACCCUGGUAGU
rnacentral:rRNA from 1 species